rnacentral:rRNA from 1 species
UCAGGAUGAACGCUAGCUACAGGCUUAACACAUGCAAGUCGAGGGGCAGCAUGAUCUAGCUGCUAGAUGAUGGCGACCGGCGCACGGGUGCGUAACGCGUAUCCAACCUGCCGUGUACUCUGGGAUAGCCCUCUGAAAGGAGGAUUAAUACCGGAUGUGGUUGCGGAGAGACAUCUCUCUGCAAUUAAAGAUUUAUCGGUACACCGAUGGGGAUGCGUAUGAUUAGCUGGUUGGCGGGGUAACGGCCCACCAAGGCGACGAUCGUUAGGGUUCUGAGAGGAAGGUCCCCCACAUAGGAACUGAGACACGGUCCUAACUCCUACGGGAGGCAGCAGUGAGGAAUAUUGGUCAAUGGGCGAGAGCCUGAACCAGCCAAGUAGCGUGAAGGAAGACUGCCCUAUGGGUUGUAAACUUCUUUUAUGAGGGAAUAAAGUGCGCCACGUGUGGCGUUUUGUAUGUACCUCAUGAAUAAGCAACGGCUAAUUCCGUGCCAGCCGCGGC